AAAGAAGCAGAAAAAGAACUAAAAAAAUGUCGAGAAGAGCUGAGAAAAUACAAGGAUAAUGAUGAUAAAGCUUUAGGUAAGG